rnacentral:rRNA from 1 species
AGUCAACAUGCCCAGGGGACGUGGAUAACCUCGGGAAACUGAGGCUAAACCGCGAUAGGCCAAGAUUUCUGGAAUGGAUCAUGGCUUAAAUCUAUAUGGCCCCUGGAUUGGACUGCGGCCGAUCAGGCUGUUGGUGAGGUAAUGGCCCACCAAACCUGUAACCGGUACGGGCUCUGAGAGGAGGAGCCCGGAGAUGGGCACUUAGACAAGGGCCCAGGCCCUAUGGGGCGCAGCAGGCGCGAAACCUCUGCAAUAAGCGAAAGCUUGACAGGGUUACUCUGAGUGAUUUCCGCUAAGGAAGUCUUUUGGCACCUCUAAAAAUGGUGCAGAAUAAGGGGUGGGCAAGUCUGGUGUCAGCCGCCGCGGUAAUACCAGCACCCCGAGUGGUCGGGACGAUUAUUGGGCCUAAAGCAUCCGUAGCCGGUCCUGCAAGUCCUCCGUUAAAUCCACCCGCUCAACGGUUGGGCCGCGGGGGAUACUACAGGGCUAGGAGGCGGGAGAGGCAAGCGGUACUCGAUGGGUAGGGGUAAAAUCCACUGAUCCAUUGAAGACCACCAGUGGCGAAGGCGGCUUGCCAGAACGCGCUCGACGGUGAGGGACGAAAGCUGGGGGAGCAAACCGGAUUAGAUACCCGGGUAGUCCCAGCUGUAAACGAUGCAGACUCGGUGAUGGGCUGGCUUCGUGCCAACCCGGUGCCGCAGGGAAGCCGUUAAGUCUGCCGCCUGGGGAGUACGGUCGCAAGACUGAAACUUAA